CCUACGGGAGGCAGCAGUGAGGAAUAUUGGUCAAUGGGCGGGAGCCUGAACCAGCCAAGCCGCGUGAGGGAAGAAGGUCCUGCGUAUUGUAAACCUCUUUUAUCGGGGAAUAAAGGGCGGCACGUGUCCUGUUUUGUAUGUACCUUAUGAAUAAGGAUCGGCUAACUCCGUGCCAGCAGCCGCGGUAAUACGGAGGAUCCGAGCGUUAUCCGGAUUUAUUGGGUUUAAAGGGUGCGUAGGCGGCCUUUUAAGUCAGCGGUGAAAGUCUGUGGCUCAACCCUAGAAUUGCCGUUGAAACUGGAGGGCUUGAGUGUGUGAGAGGCAGGCGGAAUGCGUGGUGUAGCGGUGAAAUGCAUAGAUAUCACGCAGAACCCCGAUUGCGAAGGCAGCCUGCCGGGCCGUAACUGACGCUGAUGCACGAAAGCGUGGGGAUCGAACAGGAUUAGAUACCCUAGUAGUC
rnacentral:rRNA from 1 species